rnacentral:rRNA from 1 species
GAUGAACGCUAGCGGCAGGCCUAAUACAUGCAAGUCGGACGGGAUUGAGAAGCUUGCUUUUCAUGAGAGUGGCGCACGGGUGCGUAACACGUAUGUAACCUACCUUAAUCAGGGGGAUAGCCUCUCGAAAGAGAGAUUAACACCGCAUAAAAUCAAUUUAUGGCAUCAUAGAAUGAUCAAAUAUUUAUAGGAUUAAGAUGGGCAUGCGGAACAUUAGCUAGUUGGUAAGGUAACGGCUUACCAAGGCUACGAUGUUUAGGGGAUCUGAGAGGAUGACCCCCCACACUGGUACUGAGACGCGGACCAGACUCCUACGGGAGGCAGCAGUAAGGAAUAUUGGUCAAUGGGCGCAAGCCUGAACCAGCCAUGCCGCGUGCAGGAAGACGGCCCUACGGGUUGUAAACUGCUUUUGUACCGGAAUAAACCUUUGUAUGUAUACGAAGCUGAAUGUACGGUAAGAGUAAGGAUCGGCUAACUCCGUGCCAGCCGCCGCCGUAA